CCCCUCUUAGGGUGACACCUGGGGAGUUUCCAGUACUCUAUCAGUCUUGGCUAGGGGAGGGAAGGCAAGCAGAGGCCUACUCAUCCCAUUCCUAGCUUAGGCAGUGGCUAGCGAGUGGAAGGCAAUCUGCUACAUGU
rnacentral:snoRNA from 1 species